GAAAGGUGUUUGCACACAAAGAACUG
rnacentral:tRNA from 1 species